AUUAUUUUGGCAGAAUUUAUGCGAUGAAUUUAGAAUUCAUGAAUGUAUAAUGUAAAUUAUAUAAAUAAUA
rnacentral:tRNA from 1 species